rnacentral:rRNA from 1 species
GCGGUGGAUGAUGUGGAUUAAUUCGAUGCAACGCGAAAACCUUACACCCUUGACAUGUCCGGAAUCCCGAAGAGAUUUGGGAGUGCUCGCAAGGAGAACCGGAACACAGGUGCUGCAUGGCUGUCGUCAGCUCGUGUCGUGAGAUGUUGGGUUAAGUCCCGCAACGAGCCGCAACCCUUGUCAUUAGUUGCCAUCAUUUGGUUGGGCACUCUAAUGAGACUGCCGGUGACAACCGGAGGAAGGUGGGGAUGACGUCAAGUCCUCAUGGCCCUUAUGGGUAGGGCUUCACACGUCAUACAAUGGUCGGUACAGAGGGUUGCCAACCCGCGAGGGGGAGCUAAUCCCACAAAGCCGAUCGUAGUCCGGAUCGCAGUCUGCAACUCGACUGCGUGAAGUCGGAAUCGCUAGUAAUCGUGGAUCAGCAUGUCACGGUGAAUACCGUUCCCGGGUCUU